AUCAGUCAGUCAAGAGAAAAACUGAGGUCCGACAAACCCGUGCAUGCCGAUACAACCGUGAAGAAACCUUUAUAACACAGAUUCUGCUGCUCCGUUCGAGCCAGGAAUAAUUAUAAUAACGCAUAAUAAUAUUCAAGACUAAAUGAGCCACUAAAAUCAGCACCAGUGGCCAGCGAAAUACACAUCAGAAACGAAGGCUACCAAACUAAACCACACUUAAAAAACAACAACAUUGUGAGAAAUAGAAUAUGAGAAUGACGAGCACAAGAAGCUGGAAGCAUGACACUGGGGAAAGAACGUUUACUUCAAAUCAAUGUUGUAAAUUAGUGGUUUUUUAAAUGUUUUCCUAAGAAUCUCACAGGGCUGAUGAAGAUGAAUGAAUAGGUAUAUGAGCCUCAUCAAGAUGAAAUCCCUUCAUUAUAACGGCAGGAAGUUCUUCUGAUCUUCUGCUUCAUCAAUACUGGCCGAACUGUAGUGUAAACACCCGCCUGUCAAUCAUCACACUAACCCCGCCCCCACACGCAGACUCCGCCCAUCGAGAGCUGUGACGCGGCGAUCAGAGAAACGGCGUCAGUCCUGCAGCGCUUCACAGGAAGUUGUUUGAGAUCUGACGCUGGUGUUCAAACAGGUCCUCUGCCUCCGCACUGUAAGCGUCGCCUGAAACACAGAAAACAACUUUUAAUUA